GUCAGAUUGAACGCUGGCGGCAGGCCUACACAUGCAAGUCGAACGGUAGCACAGAGAGCUUGCUCUCGGGUGACGAGUGGCGGACGGGUGAGUAAUGUCUGGGAAACUGCCUGAUGGAGGGGGAUAACUACUGGAAACGGUAGCUAAUACCGCAUAACGUCGCAAGACCAAAGAGGGGGACCUUCGGGCCUCUUGCCAUCAGAUGUGCCCAGAUGGGAUUAGCUAGUAGGUGGGGUAACGGCUCACCUAGGCGACGAUCCCUAGCUGGUCUGAGAGGAUGACCAGCCACACUGGAACUGAGACACGGUCCAGACUCCUACGGGAGGCAGCAGUGGGGAAUAUUGCACAAUGGGCGCAAGCCUGAUGCAGCCAUGCCGCGUGUAUGAAGAAGGCCUUCGGGUUGUAAAGUACUUUCAGCGGGGAGGAAGGUGUUGUGGUUAAUAACCACAGCAAUUGACGUUACCCGCAGAAGAAGCACCGGCUAACUCCGUGCCAGCAGCCGCGGUAAUACGGAGGGUGCAAGCGUUAAUCGGAAUUACUGGGCGUAAAGCGCACGCAGGCGGUCUGUCAAGUCGGAUGUGAAAUCCCCGGGCUCAACCUGGGAACUGCAUUCGAAACUGGCAGGCUAGAGUCUUGUAGAGGGGGGUAGAAUUCCAGGUGUAGCGGUGAAAUGCGUAGAGAUCUGGAGGAAUACCGGUGGCGAAGGCGGCCCCCUGGACAAAGACUGACGCUCAGGUGCGAAAGCGUGG
rnacentral:rRNA from 1 species